GCUUACGGCCAUACCACCCUGAGAACGCCCGAUCUCGUCUGAUCUCCGAAGCUAAGCAGGGUCGGGCCUGGUUAGUAC
rnacentral:rRNA from 1 species